GCGAACGCUGGCGGUAGGCCUAACACAUGCAAGUCGAACGGCAGCACAGUAAGAGCUUGCUCUUACGGGUGGCGAGUGGCGGACGGGUGAGGAAUACAUCGGAAUCUACUUUUUCGUGGGGGAUAACGUAGGGAAACUUACGCUAAUACCGCAUACGACCUACGGGUGAAAGCAGGGGAUCUUCGGACCUUGCGCGAUUGAAUGAGCCGAUGUCGGAUUAGCUAGUUGGCGGGGUAAAGGCCCACCAAGGCGACGAUCCGUAGCUGGUCUGAGAGGAUGAUCAGCCACACUGGAACUGAGACACGGUCCAGACUCCUACGGGAGGCAGCAGUGGGGAAUAUUGGACAAUGGGCGAAAGCCUGAUCCAGCCAUACCGCGUGGGUGAAGAAGGCCUUCGGGUUGUAAAGCCCUUUUGUUGGGAAAGAAAAGCAGCAGGUUAAUACCCCGCUGUUCUGACGGUACCCAAAGAAUAAGCACCGGCUAACUUCGUG
rnacentral:rRNA from 1 species